rnacentral:tRNA from 1 species
GGCUGUGUGGUCUAGUGGUAUGAUUCUCGCAUCGGGUGCGAGAGGUCUCGAGUUCGAUUUUCGACUCAGUCC